ACUGUUUGUGUUUUGACUUUAGGUCACCUUCAUCAUGAUUCCAGCCGUCCUCUUCCUCCUUUUGUUCUCAGUGACAAAUGUCCUGCUGAGCACACCAGUUGAUGAUGAGGAUGAUGUGGAAACCCCUGAGCUGCUUGAUGACAUYGCCAUUCCCGACACUCGGACCAGGAAUGCGGACCCAUGCACCGCCAAAGGCUGCAAGUGGCCCAAAUCCGGAUGCUUUGUUAACGUGCCCUACGAGAUCUCCUCUG